CCCAUUCUCAGGUCACCAGCAAAAAUUCAUCACAUGGUUCCAUUCCAAUAUGAGGGCCAAUCAGAAAGUACAGCCCUGCCGAUUGCCUUGUAGCAGAGACAUCAGGGACUAUUUGAUGCCUGGUGUUAAUGCAUGCCUCAGCAGGUAUAAACACAAACUGUUACCGAUACCAAGCUCUCUCCACACAUGGCAGGCCAGUAAAUCCCAGAGACCAGGAAACACAUGGCAGUGUCUGAAGACUUCAUUAAUUGUCAGGACUGGAGGUGUUCUA